rnacentral:rRNA from 1 species
UACGUAGGUGGCAAGCGUUACUCGGAAUCACUAGGCGUAAAGCGCAGGUAGGCGGUUUGAUAAGUCUCUUGUGAAAGCUCCCGGCUUAACUGGGAGAGGUCAAGGGAAACUGUCAGGCUAGAGUGUGGCAGAGGAAGCUGGAAUUCCCGGUGUAGCGGUGAAAUGCGUAGAUAUCGGGAGGAAUACCUAUGGCGAAAGCAGGUUUCUGGGCCGUCACUGACGCUGAGCUGCGAAAGCUAGGGGAGCAAACAGG